rnacentral:rRNA from 1 species
GAUGAACGCUAGCUACAGGCUUAACACAUGCAAGUCGAGGGGCAGCACAGUGUAGCAAUACACGGGUGGCGACCGGCGCACGGGUGCGUAACGCGUAUCCAACCUUCCCGUUACUCUUGGAUAGCCUUCCGAAAGGGAGAUUAAUACAAGAUGGUAUUCAAAUUCCGCAUGUUAUUUGAAUUAAAGAUUUAUCGGUAACGGAUGGGGAUGCGUGACAUUAGAUAGUAGGCGGGGUAACGGCCCACCUAGUCUACGAUGUCUAGGGGUUCUGAGAGGAAGGUCCCCCACACUGGAACUGAGACACGGUCCAGACUCCUACGGGAGGCAGCAGUGAGGAAUAUUGGUCAAUGGUCGGAAGACUGAACCAGCCAAGUAGCGCGGAGGAUGAAGGUUCUAUGGAUUGUAAACUUCUUUUAUACGGGAAUAAAACACCUUACGUGUAGGGUCUUGUAUGUACCGUAUGAAUAAGCAUCGGCUAACUCCGUGCCAGCCGCCGCGGUAAGAC